CACGUAGGGGGCGAGCGUUGUCCGGAUUUAUUGGGCGUAAAGAGCUCGUAGGCGGCUCAGUAAGUCAGGUGUGAAACCUCCAGGCUCAACCUGGAGACGCCACCUGAUACUGCUGUGGCUUGAGUCCGGUAGGGGAGUGUGGAAUUCCUGGUGUAGCGGUGAAAUGCGCAGAUAUCAGGAGGAACACCAGCGGCGAAGGCGGCACUCUGGGCCGGUACUGACGCUGAGACGCGAAAGCGUGGGGAGCGAACAGG
rnacentral:rRNA from 1 species